UACGAAGGGGGCUAGCGUUGCUCGGAAUCACUGGGCGUAAAGCGCACGUAGGCGGCUUUCUAAGUCAGGGGUGAAAUCCUGGAGCUCAACUCCAGAACUGCCUUUGAUACUGAGGAUCUUGAGUCGGGAGAGGUGAGUGGAACUGCGAGUGUAGAGGUGAAAUUCGUAGAUAUUCGCAAGAACACCAGUGGCGAAGGCGGCUCACUGGCCCGAUACUGACGCUGAGGCACGAAAGCGUGGGGAGCAAACAGGG
rnacentral:rRNA from 1 species